CCCUUAGAUGUUCUGGGCCGCACGCGCGCUACACUGACAGAACCAGCGAGUUUUUUUCCUUCACCGGAAGGUUGUGGGUAAUCUUGUGAAAUUCUGUCGUGCUGGGGAUAGAGCAUUGCAAUUAUUGCUCUUCAACGAGGAAUCCCUUGUAAGCGUGAGUCAUCAGCUCGCGUUGAAUACGUCCCUGCCCUUUGUACACACCGCCCGUCGCUACUACCGAUUGAAUGUAUCAGUGAGGCCUUGGGAUUGGAGUCGCGGAGCCGGCAACGGCACCAUGGCGCUGAGAACUUGGUCAAACUCGUAUGUUUAGAGGAAGUAAAAGUCGUAACA
rnacentral:rRNA from 1 species